AUUGAACGCUGGCGGCAUGCUUAACACAAUGCAAGUCGAACGGCAAGCGCGGGAAAGCUUGCUUUCCUGGCGGCGAGUGGCGGACGGGUGAGUAAUACUUAGGAAUCUGCCCACUAGUGGGGGAUAGCCCGGGGAAACUCGGAUUAAUACCGCAUAAGCCCUACGGGGGGAAGCUGGGGACCCAGCACCAUAGCCUUUUGGCAACCGAUCAAGGCGAGAAGAAGCUAUGGUGCU
rnacentral:rRNA from 1 species